rnacentral:rRNA from 1 species
GUCCACGCCCUAAACGAUGUCAACUAGUUGUUGGGUGACUUGUUCACUUAGUAACGUAGCUAACGCGAGAAGUUGACCGCCUGGGGAGUACGGUCGCAAGAUUAAAACUCAAAGGAAUUGACGGGGCCCGCACAAGCGGUGGAUUAUGUGGAUUAAUUCGAUGCAACGCGAAAACCUUAACCUACCCUUGACAUGCCAGGAAGUUGACAGAGAUGUUGACGUGCCCGAAAGGGAAUCUGGACACAGGUGCUGCAUGGCUGUCGU